rnacentral:rRNA from 1 species
GACGUAGGGUGCGAGCGUUGUCCGGAUUUAUUGGGCGUAAAGAGCUCGUAGGCGGCUCGUCGCGUCGACCGUGAAAACCCGCAGCUUAACUGCGGGCCUGCGGUUGAUACGGGCGGGCUAGAGUUCGGUAGGGGAGACUGGAAUUCCUGGUGUAGCGGUGAAAUGCGCAGAUAUCAGGAGGAACACCGGUGGCGAAGGCGGGUCUCUGGGCCGAUACUGACGCUGAGGAGCGAAAGCGUGGGGAGCAAACAGG